rnacentral:rRNA from 1 species
GACGAACGCUGGCGGCGUGCUUAACACAUGCAAGUCGAACGGAAAGGCCCCUUUGGGGGUACUCGAGUGGCGAACGGGUGAGUAACACGUGAGUAACCUGCCCUUGACUUCGGGAUAACUUCAGGAAACUGGGGCUAAUACCGGAUAGGAAUCCUUGCUGCAUGGUGGGGGUUGGAAAGCUUCGGCGGUUUUGGAUGGACUCGCGGCUUAUCAGCUUGUUGGUGGGGUAGUGGCUUACCAAGGCUUUGACGGGUAGCCGGCCUGAGAGGGCGACCGGCCACAUUGGGACUGAGAGACGGCCGAGACUCCUACGGGAGGCAGCAGUGGGGAAUAUUGCACAAUGGGCGGAAGCCUGAUGCAGCAACGCCGCGUGCGGGAUGACGGCCUUCGGGUUGUAAACCGCUUUCAGCAGGGGCGAAGCUUGUGGUGACGGUACCUGCAGAAGAAGCACCGGCUAACUACGUG